rnacentral:lncRNA from 1 species
CCUACAGGACAUGCUAGAAAGCUUGUUGCCACCUUUUUCAUCUUAUUUCGACAAGUUAGGAAACUUAGAAUCUACGAGGAGCUCGAUGGUUGAGGUAAAAGGCCAUUUUUUUCUCCAAGCUUGACUAAACGAGGCUUAAAUGUGUGUGCAUGAAUGCCACCAACGUUGGACUAGCCAGAAAGGUGUGGGUGAGAGGGAGGAUAGAGAGUAGUAUGGAUCCAGGUGCCUUGAUUUAUAAGAAUUUUCGUCACUUUCAUACCACCAUUCAAAAGAGAAGAUGGAGAUAGAUGAGAGUGUAGUGCUGGACUAUAGUAGAAAUUUAUAGUAGAUAAGGCAUCAAAAUUCAUGGA